GGAAGUACUGGUACCCCUUGAUAGUUCUUGAAUAACUUCCCCAACAAUGUCUCAACAUCAUCAUCAGAUAUGUCGUCAAGGGACAUCUGCGACAGGUCAUCAAAACCCGAGUAGUCCGAGCCUGAGCGAGCUCGUUGUUGCACAGGCUGAACCCUCCGCUUGAGAAAACUAGCAGCCACAUUGAUGCUAGUUAAACCAAACGACUUCAACUCGGCAAUCUGAGUCAGCAGGUUAGCAAUUUCAGGG
rnacentral:lncRNA from 1 species